UAUAACCACUAUGAACAAGAGGGUCUUUCC
rnacentral:piRNA from 1 species